rnacentral:rRNA from 1 species
CCUACGGGAGGCAGCAGUGAGGAAUAUUGGUCAAUGGACGCAAGUCUGAACCAGCCAUGCCGCGUGCAGGAUGACGGUCCUAUGGAUUGUAAACUGCUUUUGUACAGGAAGAAACACUCCCUCGUGAGGGAGCUUGACGGUACUGUAAGAAUAAGGAUCGGCUAACUCCGUGCCAGCAGCCGCGGUAAUACGGAGGAUCCAAGCGUUAUCCGGAAUCAUUGGGUUUAAAGGGCCCGUAGGCGGUUUUAUAAGUCAGUGGUGAAAUCUGGUCGCUCAACGAUCAAACGGCCAUUGAUACUGUAGAACUUGAAUUACUUGGAAGUAACUAGAAUAUGUAGUGUAGCGGUGAAAUGCUUAGAGAUUACAUGGAAUACCAAUUGCGAAGGCAGGUUACUACAAGUAUAUUGACGCUGAUGGACGAAAGCGUGGGGAGCGAACAGGAUUAGAUACCCUGGUAGUCCACGCCGUAAACGAUGGAUACUAGCUGUUCGGAGCAAUCUGAGUGGCUAAGCGAAAGUGAUAAGUAUCCCACCUGGGGAAGUACGUUCGCAAGAAUUGAAACUUAAUUGAUUGNGNGNGAGAGNGCGAGACGACGACGAGGAGGAGG